GAGCAUCUCAGUGUGGCAGGGUCAAGGUGCCAGGAGCGUCCUGAACAGAUGGUAAAGGCAGGUGUGUCUGCAUUUCCUAGCAACACCAUGCUGGGGGUGUUGUCUGACUGCCACAUAGAAACUGGGGAGCGACAGCCAGCCCAGUCUUGUUGAAAGCAAAGCAAGGAUCCAGGAGAUUUACUGCAGUGCAGACAGCGACAAUUCCAAACUGAUAAUGAAAGACCCUAAAAUAGGCCCUAUGUAUCAGGCUGCCCUGUGUCCCUGGGAAAGAGCCAUGUGUCAACUGGAUGUCAACCCCAGCAUUUUCUUACUGACCCACCUCCCUGACUUUUAUCUCUGAGCAUGCAGAUAAGCACAUAUGACAGUCUCUAGAGAUUAUUUCUAAAUAUACCAACCCCUGUUUAUACCAAAAUGGGUUCCCUUGUUGGCAGGUUGAAAGGCACUUCCAAAGCCAGCAGGCUCCAGAAUGCCAAAUAUGGCCAAGCUCAGACCCCGCGAGGUAGACCACAGGGAGGCCCCCCACAGGUGCCAGGCUAUGGGCUGUUUUCAUUUCCAAACAAAAUUUUCCACCCUAUAAACCCUAAAGUAUUUUAUCGAAGCAGGGGGGUCUAAUUCAUCCAUUUGCUGCAGAAAGGGCAACAUCUUCAGCAGGGAAGAGACAGCUAUUUUGAGUCACGGCA
rnacentral:lncRNA from 1 species